AUCUUGGAUUCUGGGAUCCUGUGGAAUCUCGCGACACGCGUUUGGCAGAACAAGGAUCUCAACACGUAUGGCUUCCUGGCGCUGUUCGCAUCUACCAAUGGAGGCGUUACACGCAUUUACCCCAACAUAGCUGCUGAAUCAUGGGACGAGGAUCCCGAACCUCUGAACUCAAACUUCUACCGUCGCACUCUGGACAACAAAGGCUACAUCUUCAGGGCGCCGACAC